GCUUACGGCCACACCGCCUGGUUCACGCCCGAUCUCGCUUUGAUCUCGGAAGCUAAGAUAGGUUGGGCCUGGUUAGUACUUGGAGGGAGACCGCCUGGGAAUACCAGGGCUGUAAAGC
rnacentral:rRNA from 1 species